rnacentral:rRNA from 1 species
AUUGAACGCUGGCGGCAGGCCUAACACAUGCAAGUCGAGCGGAUGAAGGGAGCUUGUUCCUGGAUUCAGCGGCGGACGGGUGAGUAAUGCAUAGGAAUCUGCCUGGUAGUGGGGGAUAACGUCCGGAAACGGGCGCUGAUACCGCAUACGUCCUGAGGGAGAAAGUGGGGGAUCUUCGGAACUCAUGCUAUCAGAUGAGCCUAGGUCGGAUUAGCUAGUUGGUGGGGUAAAGGCCUACCAAGGCGACGAUCCGUAGCUGGUCUGAGAGGAUGAUCAGUCACACUAGAGCUGAGACACGGUCCAGACUCCUACGGUAGGCAGCAGUGGGGAAUGUUGGGCAAUGGGCGAAAUUCUGGUCCAGCCAUGCCGCGUGUGUGAAGAAGGUCUUCGGGUUGUAAAGCACUUUAAGUUGGGAUGAAGGGCUGUAAAUUGAUACCUUGCUGUAUUGACGUUACCAACAGAAUAAGCACCGGCUAACUUCGUG